UACAGAGGUCCCAAGCGUUGUUCGGAUUCAUUGGGCGUAAAGGGUGCGUAGGCGGCGCGGUAAGUGGGGUGUGAAAUUUCGGGGCUUAACUUCGAAACUGCAUUCGAUACUGCCGUGCUUGAGGACUGGAGAGGAGACUGGAAUUUACGGUGUAGCGGUGAAAUGCGUAGAUAUCGGGAGGAAGACCAGUGGCGAAGGCGGGUCUCUGGACAGUACCUGACGCUGAGGCGCGAAGGCCAGGGGAGCAAACGGG
rnacentral:rRNA from 1 species